UUUCCGUAGGGAACCUGCGGAAGGAUCAUUAAAGAGAAUAUGCCCUUCGGGGUAGAUCUCCCACCCUUUGUUUAUAUUACCUUUGUUGCUUUGGCAGGCCCGUCUUCGGACCACCGGCUUCGGCUGGUCAGUGCUUGCCAGAGGACCCAAAACUCUUAUUAUUAAUGUCGUCUGAGUACUAUAUAAUAGUUAAAACUUUCAACAACGGAUCUCUUGGUUCUG
rnacentral:misc_RNA from 1 species